rnacentral:lncRNA from 1 species
GUUUGGCCAUACACACGAUAUUUCUGUCUGGUUCACUUUUUGUUAAUAAAGUAGAGCAGAUAGAAGACUACAACCGCGACAAAGUUAGGCAAAGUUGAGUAACUGUGAAUAAAAAAAAAGGACCUUCACAUUAACAUGGUAGACUCUUUCCUGAGAAAAUUUUUAAUAAUAGUUACCUUUUAUCGGUGGAUGUCAAAUGCCUCAAGUGUUGCACCCCAUCCUAUUAGUACAAACUGUCAAACAGGAAAAAUGACAUCCAUGUAUUAACCCAAUGAUCUGCCACAUUAGCCCUCGUUUAGUAAGGAACCUACCUUCAUUCAGUAUUGCUAACGCAUUGCAAAGAACAGCACAAAAUAAGGUUUAAGUUCUCAAAUUCGGUACAAACACUGGGCCUCAUAUACAAUAGUGAGAACUCAAAAC